rnacentral:rRNA from 1 species
CCUGAGAAACCCAAAAGAUCGAAUGGGGAGAUUCAUCGUCAGCGGUACUGGUACGUGUGCGGUUCGCGAUGUCGGAGACUUCGGUCUCGCGGCACGCGUCCGCAUGUUUUUUAUUGCCUGGUAUCGUCGGCGUGCACUUCUCCCCUAGUAGGACGUCGCGACCCGUUGGGUGUCGGUCUACGGCCCGGGUGGGUGCCUGUCUCGUGUGCGCUUUAUCGCGUCACUGCGGGGCAGACCCCCGGUUGCCUGACCGGCUGCCCGGCGGUACUCGCAAGGUAUCUGGCCGCAAAUAUUCGAACUGCGUCCGGCCCGUCGCAAGCGAGGCGAGUGUUCCCGAAUGUACGGAUCUAAUGCCGUCAUCGGGCCUAGCCAGCUGUUGGUUGACGGUGUCCUAGGACUGGCUAUAACAAUUAUGAUACCGGUCAGCGACGCUACUGCUUUGGGUACUUUCAGGA